rnacentral:rRNA from 1 species
AGUUUGAUCAUGGCUCAGGACGAACGCUGGCGGCAUGCUUAACACAUGCAAGUCGAACGCAGCAUCGGAGCUUGCUCUGAUGGCUGAGUGGCAAACGGGUGAGUAACACGUAGGAACUUACCUUUUAGACUGGGACAACCACUGGAAACGGGUGGCUAAUACCGGAUACGCCCUGAGGGGGAAAGCAGCAAUGCGCUAAGAGAGAGGCCCGCGGCGGAUUAGGUAGUUGGGUGGGGUAAAGGCCUACCAAGCCUGUGAUCUGUAGCUGGUUUGAGAGGAUGAUCAGCCACACUGGGACUGAGACACCGGCCCAGACUCCUACGGGAGGCAGCAGGUGGGGAAUAUUGGACAAUGGGGGAAACCCUGAUCCAGCAAUGCCGCGUGAAUGAAGAAGGCCUUAGGGUUGUAAAAUUCUUUUGUUCGUGAAGAUAAUGACGGUAGCGGACGAAUAAGCCCUGGCUAACUCUGUG